GGGGCGGGGCAGAACGCUCGCUUUGGCUGCGGGAGUGAGUGUGAGUGUGAGAGCAAGAACAGCCCGCAGGUCCCGAGGCGCUUGCAGGGGACUCUGCCGCGGAAAGUUCCCAGUCCCCAGCCGCAGAAGCUUUUUAUUUUUGGUUGAUUCCUGCUGUCUACUCCUCUUGGAUGCCUUUGUGAAACUGCUUCUAUCUGAGAAGGAGGAGUUGCCAUUUAGCAAGUAGUAGGUGGUACCGUGUGUGGCAGAGUCCGAUGUGUUACACCACGAGGACAUUCAUCUUUGCAAUUGGUGAAGUCCUUCUACCUAGUUCCCCUUCCUUGUGCACAGAAGAGGACUGGAAAACUCCUCACAGGACUGCAUACUGCUAUCUCUGAGAAACCAGAAAGAAGAAAGUACCUCUUCCUUCCAAGCUUCUACCUAAGAGUAUACUGGAAGGUUUACCUAGAGCAACAAGACAACGAAAUGGAUUGUCCUUCUCACGCUAGUCCACACACAAUCCUCAUCAUUUUGAUAAGAUAGCAUGAAGUCUCUUAUCGCUUGUGGAUCCAGCACUUUGGUUCAGGUUCAUCUGCCCAUAAUUCUCUAAGAUUUGGAGCUGUUGAGGAGUGGCUCAUAGUAGACACUGAACCAUCAGCCAACAGCAUUUGUUGUCCUGGAUGUCUGUGCCAACCUUUCGAGUCACACUGGGGUCUAAAGACACACCUGGAAUAAAAAUCAGAAUGCUUAAGAAACUUAAUAUGAUCUGCGGGAGAAUACAUGAGGUUUUUGUUUCAUACCACAGUCUGAUGACAGCAUGGAUUUCAACUGAUGAUGUUCACCUUUGCCUCUUGGGUAUGUUGACCUCACAGUCGUCCCCUGAUAAGACUGCUCUUUUCCUUGGUGUUUAAUAAAUAAGGGAAUCUACACGGAGAUACUACAAAUAUUCUAUCUUACCUAAACUUUAUCAACCAAGUUUAAAGUUUGCUGGCAUACUGUGUUAGUGUAAGGACAGUUACUACUUUCUGUACUAAUUUCACAUUUUUCUAAAAGAGGAUUUAUUCUUACCCAUGCAUCCGUUUGUUGUUUGUUCAAAUUACCAUGGAAUUGAUCUACAAUGUUAAACUAAUACCAUCAUUAUUUAGCUGAUUUUCACUAGGUCAGAGCUAAGGCUGAUUUUCUCCUGUUUAAUUUUGAAAUGUUCCCAUGUGUUUGUUUUCUGUUGUUAGCAUAUUUUAAACUCCCAUGAGCUUCAGGCUUAUCGUAUUCUGUAUAUGUACCAGGCUUGGGAUCAACUAUCAGUUGUAUCUCCAAGGAGCCCUUGUCCCUUCUUUUGAAAGUUGGUUCUUAGAAAGUAUUAACAUAAUAUUGGUACACCCUUGGAUUUCAUUACUUCUAUUUCCACGCAAACAAAAAGAUGGUGAAGAUACAUAUAUGCACUGUGGUGGCUUGAGAAAGAAUGCUCCUCACAUUGACUUAUAUAUUUGAAUACUUGAUGCUCCAUUAGAACUCUUUGGGAAGGAUUAGGAGGUGAGGCCUUGUUGGAAGAGGUAAGUCACUGGUGGCCAGCUUUGAGGUUUUAAAAGACUGGUGCCAUUCCUAAUGUGCCUCUCUCCCUCUUUUUCUUCUAGGUCAAUAUGUGAGCUCAGAGAUUUCCCUGCUUUUGUUCUGUCAUUAUGGAUUCUAAACUUCUGAAACUACAUACUCAAUUAAAUGUUUUCUUUUAUAAAUUAUA
rnacentral:lncRNA from 1 species